UACAGGAGGUCUCAAGCGUUGUCCGGAAUAUUGGGCGUAAAGAGCUCGUAGGCGGUUUGUCGCGUCUGCUGUGAAAACCUAAGGCUCAACCUUGGGCUUGCAGUGGGUACGGGCAGACUAGAGUGCGGUAGGGGUGACUGGAAUUCCUGGUGUAGCCGGUGGAAUGGCGCAGAUAUCAGGAGGAACACCAAUGGCGAAGGCAGCUCUCUGGGACGGUACUGACACUGGAGACGCGAAAAGCGUGGGGAGCGAACAGG
rnacentral:rRNA from 1 species